GGUAGCGUGGCCGAGGGGUCUAAGGCGCUGGAUUUAGGCUCCAGUCUCUUCGGGGGCAUGGGUUCGAAUCCCAUCGCUGCCA
rnacentral:tRNA from 2 species